AUUGCAAAACGUUCUAUCGCUCCGUACUCAAAUGCGGGGAGGAAAGUCCGGGCAACAUAGAGCAUCCUGCUUCCUAACGGGAAGGCGCCCGCAGCGGGCGACAGCAAGUGCCACAGAGAAUAUACCGCCUGCAAGGGUAAGGGUGAAAACGUGAGGUAAGAGCUCACGGCUUUUCCGGGCGAUCGGGAUCGCGGUAAACCUCAGGAGUUGAAAAACCAAAUAGGUUCUGAAAGUGGGGCUGCUCGCUCCCGUGCCGAUCCGUCGGCCGUUAGAAUGGGUAGGUUGAUAAAGCCUGUUAGCAAUAACAGGACAAGAUUAAUGAUAGAAAUUCCCUCAAGGGAACACAGAACCCGGCUUACAGAUUUGCUGCUGUG
rnacentral:RNase_P_RNA from 1 species